AGACGGAGGGUGCCAGCGUUAUUCGGAUUUAUUGGGCGUAAAGGGCGUGCAGGCGGCCGACCAAGUCUGAUGUGAAAGCCCGGGGCUUAACCUCGGAAGGGCGUUGGAAAUUGGUUGGCUUGAGUUCGGGAGAGGAAAGCGGAAUUCCUGGUGUAGAGGUGAAAUUCGUAGAUAUCAGGAGGAACACCGGUGGCGAAGGCGACGGCCUGGCCUUAUACUGACGCGGGGACGCGAGAGCGUGGGUAGCAAACAGGAUUAGAUACCCGGGUAGUCCACGCCGUAAACGAUGUUCACUAGGUGUUGGGGGUAUUGACCCCCUCAGUGCCGGAGCUAACGCAUUAAGUGAACCGCCUGGGGAGUACGGUCGCAAGACUAAAACUCAAAGGAAUUGACGGGG
rnacentral:rRNA from 1 species